rnacentral:rRNA from 1 species
UCUUAAGGAUGGGUCAGCGGCUGAUUAGGCUGUUGGCGGGGUAACGGCCCACCAAACCUAAGAUCAGUAGGGGUCUUGAGAGAGAUUGCCCCGAGAGGGACACUGAGAUAAGGGUCCCAGCCCCACGGGGUGCAGCAGGCGCGAGAACUUUACAUUGCACGAAAGUGUGAUAAGGGAACCCUGAGUGCUUAUGUUCUGCAUAGGCUUUUCUUAAGAGUAAAUAUCUUGAGGAAUAAGUGGUGGGCAAGACUGGUGCCAGCCGCCGCGGUAACACCAGCGCCACGAGUGGCAACCGCUUUUAUUGGGCCUAAAGCGUCCGUAGCCGGUUAAUUAAGUCUCUUGUGAAAUCGUUAAGCUUAACUUAACGGCGUGCAAGAGGUACUGGUUAACUUGGAACCGGGAGGAGUCAGAGGAAUUCCAGGGGGAGCGGUAAAAUGUUUUAAUCCCUGGAGGACCACCGGUGGCGAAGGCGUCUGACUAGAACGGAUUCGACGGUGAGGGACGAAAGCUAGGGGAGCAAAACGGAUUAGAUACCCGAGUAGUCCUAGCUGUAAACGCUGUGAGCUAGGCGUUGCAUGUUCUACGAGAACAUGCAGUGUCGUAACGAAGAUGUUAAGCUCACCGCCUGGGAAGUACGGUCGCAAGACUGAAACUUAAAGGAAUUGGCGGGGGCGCACUACAAGGAGUGUGGCGUGCGGUUCAAUUUGAUUCCACGCGGGAAACCUUACCAGGGGCGACGGCAGAAUGAAGGUCAGAUUGAAGGUCUUACCUAACAAGCCGAGAGGUAGUGCAUGGCCGCCGUCAGCUCGUGCUGUGAGGUGUCCUUUUAAGUAAGGCAACGAGCGAGACCUGUACCCCCAAUUGCUAACAGGCUUUUUCAAGCGACUGAGCCCAUUGUGGGGACUGCCUUGGAAACAAGGAGGAAGGUGCAGGCAACGGUAGGUCAGUAUGCUCCGAAUCUCCUGGGCUACACGCGCGCAGCAAUGGUCGGGACACUGGGAUACAACUCCGAAAGGAGAAGUUAAUCCUCGAAACCCGAUCUUAGUCUAGAUCGAGCUUUGAAACUCAGGCUCGUGACAAUGGAAUUCCUAGUAAUCGGGCUUCACCACGGCCCGGUGAAUAUGUCCCUGUGCCUUGCACACACCGCCCGUCAAUCCAUCCGAGCAGGGUUUAGGUGAGGCUUAUUUAUUUGAGUAAGUCAAAUCUAGAUUCAGUGAGGCAGGAUAAGUCGUCACAAGGUA